rnacentral:lncRNA from 1 species
CAAUCCUGAUGCUCUCUGGUAGAAAAUCUGUCCCAUUCUAGGGAGGGACCACCACAUGCUCUGAACAUCCGUCGUGUACCACCCAAGCAGUUAUAUCACUGCUGUCAAGAUCAGCACGAGUCCUGUGACUGAAGGAGACAUUCUCACCAUCUGUAUUCAAGCUGCCAUCUUACAUCUAUCAUUACAGACUCCAGGAUGCUAAACUGAAGGCACAGAACCUCAACACUGGAACCAGCAGACUGGUGCUCUGUUUUGGGGGUUGAAUUAUGCCACUGGAAAUUUUCUCCACAGCUAAUGAAACAUCACACCAGAGUCAGACUAUGAACCAUCACUCUUGCCAAAGUAUGAAAUUUGCCGUCUACUUGUUUGAAAGGAGUCAAAUGCUGGUCAGGAGGCUGGUCUUCACUGGCAAAGGAGAAAGAAGGAGCUUUCACACAGAGAUGACUUCCGAGAAGAUGCAUGGCUGAGAGAAGGGAAGGGGGUGGAUUAUAACUGGAAAGAGGAAUCAUCAGUGCGGUGCCUUCCUCCUCCGUCUCCUGGAUGUUCUCUCUCUGAGGCGGACAAUGCUACCCAUCACCCUACCUGGCCCAAAAGAAGAAAUGCGGAGCCCACUUCAGUUCCAGUGAUCGCUAUCUAUCACUGACUUGAAUUCCUUACCCCAAAAUGUCCUGUGAAAG